rnacentral:lncRNA from 1 species
AGAAGCAAGGGUGAAGGGACAGCAGCAUCCGGCAGGUGAAGAGCUUGUGGCAGACGGAGAGCUUUUUUGGCCUCCAACUAAGGAUUUCCAGACACAUCUCAUUGGUCAACUGCUGUCAUGAGGGAGGCUGGGGAAUCUAGGAAGGAUCAUACUUUAGCCAGGCAUAUUGCUGCCUUCAAAAAAACUAGAGGUUUUAUUACCAAAGAAGAUGGGGGAAAAGGAUAUUCAACAGGCGACACAGAAGAAGGAAGAGGAGGAAUUCAGUCUGAGGCAGGUCGAGUAUACGCUGCUGGAGGCAUUAAGGUGAAGGUUUUUGUUGUAGGC